GUUCACAUCUCCGGGCUUCCUGUGCGUGCUGGGUACACCUGUGAUCUAGUUGGGUCAGGGUAGGGGAAGGAUUGCGGCAUGAGGAUCCUGCCAAAGAUCUCUCUCUUUCUCCCCCAACCCCUCUCAUGGAAGUAAUACAUAAACAAAUAUUUUUAAAAGAAUUACAGAAUCUCAUAAUCUUUAGGAAUAUUGAAUGAAUCCUCAGGAAAAACAAUUUGAUUUUUUUUUUAAAGAUCCAAAUGGUAAAUUUUAAGUAACUAACUACAUAAAGGAAAUAGAAGGUGAGCACUUGAAAGGAGUAGAGCAACCUACCAGAAAACCUUUCGCCAGGAUAUAGCUGGUAAUGAAAACAGGAAGAUUCACAGUCAAAAGUGAGGACAGACUCGGAUAGCAGAACAUCUGUGAAUAAAAUGGCUGAUGAAAUCUGGAGCACAAGAAUUUUCUGUUGUCAACCAUAGGCAGCUUUUAAAAGUCUACAGCCAAACAAAAGUGGAGGACUGCAUCAACAGCAACACAUUAUUCACAAUAGCCAAGAUACGGAAUCAACCUUAGGGUCCAUCAAUGAAUGACUGGAUAAAGAAAAUGUGAUGCAACCUUGCUGCUUAGCCAAAAGUUCAAGGAUGGAAGAGGGCAGAGUCACCAUGAUCUAAAGGGAACAAAACUGGAGCUCCUAAAUGGUCAACCCUACUACUGAAUUUCCAAUCGGAACUCCUGCCUGGGUUAUGACAACCCCAAAUCUGAGACCCUACAACUGCCCUGCAGUAGGAAAUCACCCAGGGUUGAGAACCACUAAUUUAAGAGGAGUUUAAGGAGAGAUUCCUCUGAUGUCAUAUUGUGACCAAUAUGGGGAUAAAAGAAAACUUACCUUUUAAAGACAAGAACCCAAAAAUGUACUAAUGAGUUGAUGUACUAUCUAGGGUACGUUUCAAAGCAAAAUGAGAAGUGGAAAGGAAGAAAAUGUGGUUGGAGCAGGCCCAGCCACUAUUGGCUAAACUGAAGCGGUGCGGAUGUGCUCACAAAGAAUAAGUCAACUAUCAUCAUCAGCUUUUACUUAAAUAUUACACGCAGCCUGGGAUUCUGAUGCAAGGGAAAAACUUGUAACACCUGCUCUCUGGCCUUCAACGAAUUACUUUCAAGCAUUUAAGCCAAGAUUCACAGUAGGAAAUAUAUUAUCCUUGCUGAACAUUUGGAUUAUUUCUAUUUUUUUGGCAACUGAGGGCAACGCUGCUGUGCUACUGGAAGAGUUCAUUGCUUUCAGGCAAAUGAGAACAUGGGCAGUGUUUACAAAAUCUUCAAAUAGCAAGAAAAACACCAUACCGAGAAAGAAGAACAACCUUCUGUAUUAUUUCCCUUCAUUUUGAACUUCUAGCCCCUCUUCCCUUCCCUUUCCUAAAAUAUUUAUGUAC